rfam:Schistosoma mattheei strain Denwood, Zambia genome assembly, scaffold: SMTD_scaffold0000833
AUCCAACUGGUGAGUCCCAAAUAGAACGAAUUGUGCGUCCUGGAU